CCUAGCAUGGCAUAGUGGUUUGAGUGUUGGACUGCAAUGCUGGAGACCAGGGUUCGAUUCUCUGCUCGGC